rnacentral:rRNA from 1 species
GAUGAACGCUAGCUACAGGCUUAACACAUGCAAGUCGAGGGGCAGCAUGAUUGAAGCUUGCUUCAAUCGAUGGCGACCGGCGCACGGGUGAGUAACACGUAUCCAACCUGCCGAUAACUCGGGGAUAGCCUUUCGAAAGAAAGAUUAAUACCCGAUAGUAUAGUAUUUCCGCAUGGUUUCACUAUUAAAGAACUUCGGUUAUCGAUGGGGAUGCGUUCCAUUAGAUAGUUGGCGGGGUAACGGCCCACCAAGUCAACGAUGGAUAGGGGUUCUGAGAGGAAGGUCCCCCACAUUGGAACUGAGACACGGUCCAAACUCCUACGGGAGGCAGCAGUGAGGAAUAGUGGUCAAUGGACGAGAGUCUGAACCAGCCAAGUAGCGUGAAGGAUGACUGCCCUAUGGGUUGUAAACUUCUUUUAUACGGGAAUAAAGUGGAGUAUGCAUACUCCUUUGUAUGUACCGUAUGAAUAAGGAGCGGCUAACUCCGUG